CUACGGGGCGCUGCAGUGAGGAAUAUUGCACAAUGGGGGGAACCCUGAUGCAGCAACGCCGCGUGGAGGAUGACGCAUUUCGGUGUGUAAACUCCUUUUAUAUGUCAAGAAAAUGACGGUAGCAUAUGAAUAAGCACCGGCUAACUCCGUGCCAGCAGCCGCGGUAAUACGGAGGGUGCAAGCGUUACUCGGAAUCACUGGGCGUAAAGGACGCGUAGGCGGGUUGGAAAGUCAGGUGUGAAAUCCUACAGCUUAACUGUAGAACUGCACUUGAAACUUCUAAUCUAGAGUAUGGGAGGGGGAGAUGGAAUUAGUGGUGUAGGGGUAAAAUCCGUAGAUAUCACUAGGAAUACCUAAAGCGAAGGCGAUCUCCUGGAACAUUACUGACGCUAAGGCGUGAAAGCGUGGGGAGCAAACAGGAUAGAUACCUGGUAGUC
rnacentral:rRNA from 1 species